GCCACGGCGGUUCCAUGGUGUAAUGGUUAGCACUCUGGACUCUGAAUCCAGCGAUCCGAGUUCAAAUCUCGGUGGAACCUGAGUUUUUUUUUCUCGCCCUUCUCCAAGCUGCAGGUAUGACCAAGCAUGGGACUCUACCCAGUCAACUGAAGAAAAUGGUCUCCAUGUGUAGGAGUCUCCAGUGAGAUGUCCAGGACUUGGCAGAACUAUCACAUCAGCAAGGGCAGUGAAGAAAUGUAGCCCACCGGCAUUAAGGAGAACUAUGAAUAUCAAGCACCAUUCAUUGGGAUAAGAAGAAACCCUUAAUGGAAUCUUUUGUUUAUUUAAGAACAUGCUGUUAAAUUCACACCAAUAUGCGAACAUUGAAAAUAACACUGAAACAUUGAAAAUAAAAGAUUGAGUGGAGCCAUUGAUUUGCAAUAAAAUAAAGUACAUAAUAGUUCAUCCAUUAAAGAAGAAGGAUGCUCUAUAAUAAGGGCACUAGAUCAGCCCUCAGGAGAUCUAGGUUUCAUUCCUUGGUCUACCACAAACUGCUUCUGUGACCUUGCGUGUCACUUAGUUUCCUCUGAUAUGUUUACAUUGCAGUGAAAACUGCAUAGCUCAGACACCAGGCUGUGGAUUCAGGCUGAUAGACUGAAAACUGCAUUGUAGAUGCCUGGGAGCUGAGGCCUACUUGCCUCAUGAGAUCAUAGAGCCUAGGUUCUACACUGUAAUGUCAGAGCCCUGCAAACUCAAGGCUGUUAUCCUGUGCCACUCUCAGGUCUUUUAUUGCAGGGUAGAUUACUUUCGGUGCCGCAGGGCACAAGAGGUGAUUUACAUUUUUCCCUGUGAGUGCUCCAUCCCUGGUCUGCCCCAGGACUCCCACUCCACUCUGCCCCUUUUCCAAGGCCCUGUCCAUGCUCUGCCUCUUCCCACAGGCUCUCCUCUCCCUCCGCCCUAGCUCCAGCUCUUCCCACCCUCUCUAUGCCCGCUCCCUUGAGCCAACCUGCCACUCCCUCCUCUCUGCCUCCUCUCCCCCAAGCAUCUCCCACCUGACAAAUAGCUCAUUGGCGGCCAGCCCUGGGGCUGUCAAACAGCUGAUCAGUGGCCAGUCCCAAGGCCAGAAUCACUGGGGCUAGUGGGUGAUGAGCACCCUCUAUUUUUUUUCUGUGUGUGCUUGAGCUCUGGAGAACCCACCAAUUAGGCACCUAUUCCUGAGGGAAUGUCCACGCUAUAGAAUGAUGUCAAUCUAAGGCUUUGGCCUUUUUUGUACUAACCCCCAUCAUCAAUCAAAUGUGUGUGACUUCAGCUACGCAAGCAGCAUAACUGAAGUCGAUGUAUUUACUAUGGCGUCUAGUGUACGGUAAGGUCAGUAGGGGUUGCUUUCCCAAGAUGCCAGCUACUUUUCUUGUCUUGAUGGAAUACUGGCAUUGAUGAGAGAGCACUCAUGGAUUGCUUUAUCAUGUCUAAGCAGACAUAAUAAAUCGACAACUGGUGGAUCAAUCAUUGCAGUAUCAAUCCCCAUCUAUACAUUCAGGUUUAAAGUCCUGUCACUACAGUGUGGUCAUGG